GGUCUGGUGGUGUAGUUGGUUAUCACGUUAGUCUCACACACUAAAGGUCUCCGGUUCAAGUCCGGGCCAGAUCA
rfam:Colletotrichum gloeosporioides Nara gc5 unplaced genomic scaffold scaffold23, whole genome shotgun sequence.